rnacentral:rRNA from 1 species
UGCCAGCCGCCGCGGUAAGACGGAGGGUGCUAGCGUUGUUCGGAAUCACUGGGCGUAAAGGGCGCGUAGGCGGCGAAGACAGUCAGAUGUGAAAGCCCAGGGCUCAACCCUGGAACUGCAUUUGAUACUCCUUUGCUAGAGUUCGAAAGAGGGAAGUGGAAUACCCAGUGUAGAGGUGAAAUUCGUAGAUAUUGGGAAGAACACCAGUGGCGAAGGCGGCUAACUGGCUCGGUACUGACGCUGAGAUGCGAAAGCGUGGGGAGCAAACAGGAUUAGAUA